rnacentral:rRNA from 1 species
UAAUACGGAGGACCCGAGCGUUAUCCGGAUUCAUUGGGUUUAAAGGGUGCGUAGGCGGCCCGGUAAGUCAGCGGUGAAAGGCUCCUGCUCCACAGGAGAGCUGCCGUUGAUACUGCUGGGCUAGAAUCUUAGCGAGGCGGGCGGAAUGCGCGGUGUAGCGGUGAAAUGCAUAGAUAUCGCGCAGAACGCCGAUUGGGGAGCCAGCUCGCCAGCUGAGUAUUGACGCUGAGGCACGAAAGCGUGGGGAUCGAACAGGAUUAGAUACCCUGGUAGUCCACGCCGUAAACGAUGAUGGCUCGCUCUUGGCCCGCAAGGGUCAGGGGCUUAGCGAAAGCGUUAAGCCAUCCACCUGGGGAGUACGCCGGCAACGGUGAAACUCAAAGGAAUUGACGG